UCCCUGACCUACUAACCCUCAGUGACGGG
rnacentral:piRNA from 1 species